ACGAACGCUGGCGGCAUGCCUAACCCAUGCCAGUCGAACGAGACCUUCGGGUCUAGUGGCGCACGGGUGCGUAACGCGUGGGAACCUGCCCUUAGGUUCGGAAUAACUCCCCGAAAGGGGUGCUAAUACCGGAUAAUGUCUUCGGACCAAAGAUUUAUCGCCUUUGGAUGGGCCCGCGUUGGAUUAGCUAGUUGGUAGGGUAAAAGCCUACCAAGGCGACGAUCCAUAGCUGGUCUGAGAGGAUGAUCAGCCACACUGGGACUGAGACACGGCCCAGACUCCUACGGGAGGCAGCAGUGGGGAAUAUUGGGCAAUGGGCGAAAGCCUGAUCCAGCAAUGCCGCGUGAGUGAUGAAGGCCUUAGGGUUGUAAAGCUCUUUUACCCGGGAUGAUAAUGACAGUACCGGGAGAAUAAGCUCCGGCUAACUCCGUG
rnacentral:rRNA from 1 species